rnacentral:tRNA from 1 species
GGAGUUAACUCAAUAGAGAUGGCUAAGCAUGUAGAACCAAUAGCGGAGAGCUGGCGGACGGGGGUUCAAAUCCCCCCGGCUCCACCA